UUCGGUUGAUCCUGCCGGAGGCCGCUGCUAUCCGGCUGGGACUAAGCCAUGCGAGUCAUGGGGCGUGGGCUCUUCGGAGUCCACGCACCGGCGGACGGCUCAGUAACACGUGGACAACCUACCCUCGGGAGGGGGAUAACCCCGGGAAACUGGGGCUAAACCCCCAUAGGGGAUAGGUGCUGGAAUGCCCUAUCCCCGAAAGUGUGCGGUUGCCGUAAGGCGCCGCACGGCCCGAGGAUGGGUCUGCGGCGGAUUAGGUAGUUGGCGGGGUAACGGCCCGCCAAGCCGAAGAUCCGUACGGGCCAUGAGAGUGGGAGCCCGGAGAUGGCCCCUGAGACACGGGGCCAGGCCCUACGGGGCGCAGCAGGCGCGAAACCUCCGCAAUGCGGGAAACCGCGACGGGGUCAGCCGGAGUGCCCGCGCAUCGCGCGGGCUGUCGGGGAGCCUAAACAGCUCCCCAUAGCAAGGGCCGGGCAAGGCCGGUGGCAGCCGCCGCGGUAAUACCGGCGGCCCGAGUGGCGGCCACUAUUAUUGGGCCUAAAGCGUCCGUAGCCGGGCUGGUAAGUCCCCCGGGAAAUCUGGCGGCUUAACCGUCAGACUGCCGGGGGAUACUGCCAGCCUAGGGACCGGGAGAGGCCGGGGGUAUUCCCGGGGUAGGGGUGAAAUCCUGUAAUCCCGGGAGGACCACCUGUGGCGAAGGCGCCCGGCUGGAACGGGUCCGACGGUGAGGGACGAAGGCCAGGGGAGCGAACCGGAUUAGAUACCCGGGUAGUCCUGGCUGUAAACGAUGCGGGCUAGGUGUCGGGCGAGCCACGAGCUCGCCCGGUGCCGGAGGGAAGCCGUUAAGCCCGCCGCCUGGGGAGUACGGCCGCAAGGCUGAAACUUAAAGGAAUUGGCGGGGGAGCAC
rnacentral:rRNA from 1 species